rnacentral:lncRNA from 1 species
CUUUGAAUGAGCCUUUAAGGGCUCUCUGACAUGACAAUGUGUCAACAAUUCUUAAUGCUCGCCCUCAAUACUGUCGGUGUUGAUGAGCGAGUCCAAAGAAGGCAACCGUUGUUGCGGCUGGAAAUCGUGCCCUGCCAAAAUCUAUACGUGUUGAUCUGUACUUGAUGCCUGGUAGAUGGGUGAAUGUGUACGUUUGUUGUUCUCAGACUUUUUGGCCGCUUAAUUUCUUGCAGAUGAUCUCGGAAUGAGCAAAACCCUCGCUCCAGAGGAAUCCACUCUUCAUGGUCCCACGAUAACCAUUGUCUCGCAGGCCACUUUUCUUCAAUCGACACUCGGCUAUAUCAUUGUGAUACUCGUCAUCCUCAUACUUCUCGCCCUUUUACUACUGCUAUGUAUUUGUCUAUGCUGCGCAAUGGCCCUUCUCUACUUUCGCGAAGGUCCUACACAGAGGAACGAGAAUAAGGCGCGUUUCAUUCCGCGCAUACGAAAGAACUGGAAAAGUUUGAGGGAUGCUGAAGAAGCGGCUCGACUUAUUAGUAGAUAAGUAAGGUCGUCGAAAAUCAGAACUUGGGGGCCACCGUUACCAGCAAACCUUUCACAUGAUCGACACCAUCUACCGCAGUAAUAGUUGUCAUAACGGUAACACCUAGCACCACGAGGGGAACUACAACUUGCAGCAGGACGAAAGACAGACAGAGGACCCAACUGCUGACUAACCUGCAAAAUGAAAAGCGGUAGACGGGCGAAUAUGGCCCAGCAAGAGAAGGCAAGCCGCAUCCUUCCCAUCGUCAAGCUGAAUAGAGGAGUAAAGGAGGCUGUCAAGAUACAAAGAAUACAAAUGGGAACGGCCUGGAUGAAACUGGGACACUUCGUGCGGAACUAGCUACUCGAGAAGACGCGGUCGAAAAAAACCAGUGAUUCUGUUUGGGCGCCCCGAAGAAGAGGAAAAAUGCCGGGUUUUUUUUCCUGAAAUUUUGCUACAGUUGUACGUGGCAUUAGAUCGGUACAAUCGACGGUGCUCAAACUGAUAUGCAAACAAACUUCUGGCCCGUUCGGUAUAACUGUGACUUGUCAGAUGACUGAGACGAAGUGGCCACCUCGUCGAAAGCAACAAGAUCAGAGCCAGCAAAUAUCUGUUGUCCAAACUUAUUCGCAGUAAACCGCUAGCGUGCUGGUCUAACAGAAUACGUGCGCUGUAUAAUACACGUACUACCGACAAAACUUAGCGAAUUUCUUGUGUGACUUAUUUUGUGAACAGGUCAACAACUACCUACGAACUAGGUUUUGUACACUAAUUGCAUGUAUAUCGAGGAAGGAUCCAACGUAACCGCAAGAUGAGCUAAUCAUACCCAUUUCGCUGCACGAAUUUCGAAAUUGAGCCCGGUGAGUCCUUCCGCCUCCCGUGCUU